rnacentral:tRNA from 1 species
GCCGGGGUGGCGGAAGUGGUAGACGCAGGGGACUUAAAAUCCCCCGGGUAAACCCUUACCCGUGCGGGUUCGAGUCCCGCCCCCGGCA